rnacentral:rRNA from 1 species
AUUGAACGCUGGCGGCAGGCCUAACACAUGCAAGUCGAGCGGAUGAGGGUAGCUUGCUAUCUGAUUCAGCGGCGGACGGGUGAGUAAUGCCUAGGAAUCUGCCUGGUAGUGGGGGGCAACGUUUCGAAAGGAACGCUAAUACCGCAUACGUCCUACGGGAGAAAGUGGGGGAUCUUCGGACCUCACGCUAUCAGAUGAGCCUAGGUACGAUUAGCUAGUUGGUGAGGUAAAGGCUCACCAAGGCGAAGAUCGUUAACUGGUCUGAGAGGAUGAUCAGUCACACUGGAACUGAGACACGGUCCAGACUCCUACGGGAGGCAGCAGUGGGGAAUAUUGGACAAUGGGCGAAAGCCUGAUCCAGCCAUGCCGCGUGUGUGAAGAAGGUCUUCGGAUUGUAAAGCACUUUAAGUUGGGAGGAAGGGCAGUAAGUUAAUACCUUGCUGUUUUGACGUUACCGACAGAAUAAGCACCGGCUAACUUCGUGCCAGCCGCCGCGGUAACAC